UGCCUAUCCUGUACUGAAGCAGUGUUCAAGCACUGUGUGGUCUGUAAACUGGGAUGCUCAGCAAGAAGCAGUUUUCCCCUACCAUUUGCUGCUUUCUCCUAUGAGUGUGCCUUCAGCUGUCUAUUCCCUGCCCUGCGGAUUGAUGGUCUUCUUGGCAGAGCACGAUGGGUCAAAUAGAUUCUCCAGAGUGAAUUUUCAUGGAUGAGGUAGGACCAUAAAAAGGAUUGUUGCCAUUUUCCUUGUGCUGUCUAUCUCCAGUCUGCUCAGGGAGUCCCAGACAGAGCUGAGAAAGGCCAUAUAAUUCUAGACCGCCCACUCAUAUUGGGGAGAGCAAUCUGCUUUAUGGAAUCCACUGACUUAAAUGCCACCCUCAUCCAAGUAUCUCCUCGAGAGGCACCAUCUUUAUAUUCCUGCAGUUUCUGCAUACAUAGAAGC